GAAUAUUGCACAAUGGGCGGAAGCCUGAUGCAGCGACGCCGCGUGAGGGAUGACGGCCUACGGGUUGUAAACCUCUUUCAGCAGGGACGAAGCGUAAGUGACGGUACCUGCAGAAGAAGCACCGGCCAACUACGUGCCAGCAGCCGCGGUAAGACGUAGGGUGCGAGCGUUGUCCGGAUUUAUUGGGCGUAAAGAGCUCGUAGGCGGCUUGUCGCGUCGACUGUGAAAACCCGCAGCUCAACUGCGGGCUUGCAGCCGAUACGGGCAGGCUAGAGUUCGGUAGGGGGGACUGGAAUUCCUGGUGUAGCGGUGAAAUGCGCAGAUAUCAGGAGGAACACCGGUGGCGAAGGCGGGUCUCUGGGCCGAUACUGACGCUGAGGAGCGAAAGCGUGGGGAGCGAACAG
rnacentral:rRNA from 1 species